rnacentral:rRNA from 1 species
UACGUAGGUGGCAAGCGUUGUCCGGAAUUAUUGGGCGUAAAGCGCGCGCAGGCGGUCCUUUAAGUCUGAUGUGAAAGCCCACGGCUCAACCGUGGAGGGUCAUUGGAAACUGGAGGACUUGAGUACAGAAGAGGAAAGCGGAAUUCCACGUGUAGCGGUGAAAUGCGUAGAUAUCUGGAGGAAUACCGGUGGCGAAGGCGGCAUCCUGGACCGGCAUUGACGCUGAGGAGCGAAAGCCAGGGGAGCAAACGGG